rnacentral:rRNA from 1 species
GAUGAACGCUGGCGGCGUGCCUAAUACAUGCAAGUCGAGCGAACGGACGAGAAGCUUGCUUCUCUGAUGUUAGCGGCGGACGGGUGAGUAACACGUGGAUAACCUACCUAUAAGACUGGGAUAACUUCGGGAAACCGGAGCUAAUACCGGAUAAUAUUUUGAACCGCAUGGUUCAAAAGUGAAAGACGGUCUUGCUGUCACUUAUAGAUGGAUCCGCGCUGCAUUAGCUAGUUGGUAAGGUAACGGCUUACCAAGGCAACGAUGCAUAGCCGACCUGAGAGGGUGAUCGGCCACACGGGAACUGAGACACGGUCCAGACGCCUGCGGGAGGCAGCAGUAGGGAAUCUUCCGCAAUGGGCGAAAGCCUGACGGAGCAACGCCGCGUGAGUGAUGAAGGUCUUCGGAUCGUAAAACUCUGUUAUUAGGGAAGAACAUAUGUGUAAGUAACUGUGCACAUCUUGACGGUACCUAAUCAGAAAGCCACGGCUAACUACGUG